GAGAGGCCGCUGAGGAUCCGGAAGCAGGAAUGUCUGCUGUGGGUGAGCCUCUGUUCUCUUUUGAACAAGAGAGGCUAGGCCCUCUGAGCAGCCGCACUUUCUCAAUGGCAGAUCCUGGCUCUGCAGAGAGAACAGCCCAGAAAAGAAAGUUCCCCAGCCCUCCACAUUCUUCCAAUGGCCACUCGCCGCAGGACACAUCAACAAGCCCCAUUAAAAAGAAAAAGAAACCUGGCUUACUGAACAGUAACAAUAAGGAGCAGGAUGGACGGAAUGAUUUCUACUGCUGGGUUUGUCACCGGGAAGGCCAAGUCCUUUGCUGUGAGCUCUGUCCCCGGGUUUAUCACGCUAAGUGUCUGAGACUGACAUCGGAACCAGAGGGGGACUGGUUUUGUCCUGAAUGUGAGAAAAUUACAGUAGCAGAAUGCAUCGAGACCCAGAGUAAAGCCAUGACAAUGCUCACCAUUGAACAGUUAUCCUACCUGCUCAAGUUUGCCAUUCAGAAAAUGAAACAGCCAGGGACAGAUGCAUUCCAGAAGCCCGUUCCAUUGGAACAGCACCCUGACUAUGCGGAAUACAUCUUCCAUCCAAUGGACCUUUGUACAUUGGAAAAGAACGCAAAAAAGAAAAUGUAUGGCUGCACAGAAGCCUUCCUGGCUGAUGCAAAGUGGAUUUUGCACAACUGCAUCAUUUAUAAUGGGGGAAAUCACAAAUUGACGCAAAUAGCGAAAGUAGUCAUCAAAAUCUGUGAACAUGAGAUGAAUGAAAUCGAAGUAUGUCCAGAAUGUUAUCUAGCUGCUUGCCAAAAACGAGAUAACUGGUUUUGUGAGCCUUGUAGCAAUCCACAUCCUUUGGUCUGGGCCAAACUGAAGGGGUUUCCAUUCUGGCCUGCAAAAGCUCUGAGGGAUAAAGACGGGCAGGUCGAUGCCCGAUUCUUUGGACAACAUGACAGGGCCUGGGUUCCAAUAAAUAAUUGCUACCUCAUGUCUAAAGAAAUUCCUUUUUCUGUGAAAAAGACUAAGAGCAUCUUCAACAGUGCCAUGCAAGAGAUGGAGGUUUACGUGGAGAACAUCCGCAGGAAGUUUGGGGUUUUUAAUUACUCUCCAUUUAGGACACCCUACACACCCAACAGCCAGUAUCAAAUGCUGCUCGAUCCCACCAACCCCAGCGCCGGCACUGCCAAGAUAGACAAGCAGGAGAAGGUCAAGCUCAACUUUGACAUGACGGCAUCCCCCAAGAUCCUGAUGAGCAAGCCUGUGCUGAGUGGGGGCACAGGCCGCCGGAUUUCCUUGUCGGAUAUGCCGCGUUCCCCCAUGAGCACAAACUCUUCUGUGCACACGGGCUCCGACGUGGAGCAGGAUGCUGAGAAGAAGGCCACGUCGAGCCACUUCAGUGCAAGCGAGGAGUCCAUGGACUUCCUGGAUAAGAGCACAGCUUCACCAGCCUCCACCAAGACGGGACAAGCAGGGAGUUUAUCCGGCAGCCCAAAGCCCUUCUCUCCUCAACUGUCAGCUCCUAUCACGACGAAAACGGACAAAACCUCCACCACCGGCAGCAUCCUGAAUCUUAACCUGGAUCGAAGCAAAGCUGAGAUGGAUUUGAAGGAGCUGAGCGAGUCGGUCCAGCAACAGUCCACCCCUGUUCCUCUCAUCUCUCCCAAGCGCCAGAUUCGUAGCAGGUUCCAGCUGAAUCUUGACAAGACCAUAGAGAGUUGCAAAGCACAAUUAGGCAUAAAUGAAAUCUCGGAAGAUGUCUAUACGGCCGUAGAGCACAGCGAUUCGGAGGAUUCUGAGAAGUCAGAUAGUAGCGACAGUGAGUAUAUCAGUGAUGAUGAGCAGAAGUCUAAGAACGAGCCAGAAGACACAGAGGACAAAGAAGGUUGUCGGAUGGACAAAGAGCCAUCUGCUGUUAAAAAAAAGCCCAAGCCUACAAACCCAGUGGAGAUUAAAGAGGAGCUGAAAAGCACGUCACCAGCCAGCGAGAAGGCAGACCCUGGAGCAGUCAAGGACAAGGCCAGCCCUGAGCCUGAGAAGGACUUUUCCGAAAAGGCAAAACCUUCACCUCACCCCAUAAAGGAUAAACUGAAGGGAAAAGAUGAGACGGAUUCCCCAACAGUCCAUUUGGGCCUGGACUCUGAUUCAGAGAGCGAACUUGUCAUAGAUUUAGGAGAAGACCAUUCUGGGCGGGAGGGUCGAAAAAAUAAGAAGGAACCCAAAGAACCGUCUCCCAAACAGGAUGUUGUAGGUAAAACUCCACCAUCCACGACGGCGGGCAGCCAUUCUCCCCCGGAAACGCCGGUGCUCACCCGCUCUUCCGCCCAAACUUCCGCGGCUGGCGCCACAGCCACCACCAGCACGUCCUCCACGGUCACCGUCACGGCCCCGGCCCCCGCCGCCACAGGAAGCCCAGUGAAAAAGCAGAGGCCGCUUUUACCGAAGGAGACUGCCCCGGCCGUGCAGCGGGUCGUGUGGAACUCAUCAAGUAAGUUUCAAACGUCCUCCCAAAAGUGGCACAUGCAGAAGAUGCAGCGUCAGCAGCAGCAGCAGCAGCAGCAAAACCAGCAGCAGCAGCCUCAGUCUUCCCAGGGGACGAGAUAUCAGACCAGACAGGCUGUGAAAGGUACCGAGCCUCCCCUUCUGUUCUCCGUGGCGCCCGCUCCCAUUUUGCCACAUCGACAGGAGAAAGUCAUUGCUCUUUUAUUUUUUAUUUUUUAGUUCUCGUUUGUUUCCGGGCCAUUGUAUCUUGAAGGCCUUGCACAUUCCAUUUGGCAUUAUUUUUAAAAAUUGUUUUGCUACUUGCUUUUUUACUUUCAAAAAGUUUUUUUUGUUCAUUUUAUAAAUGAUACAUGCAUAUAUUCUCCUUAAAAAGGGGGCAGAAAGUUUUACAUAAAAGUCUGUUAUCCCGUUUACCAUCCAUUUCAUUCUCUUCCCUUCCACAGUGGCCAGUAUCAACCGUUGUAAAAGCUUUUCUAUGCAUGUAUGCAUGUAUAUGUAUAUAUACAUAUCUGUAUGUAUAUAUGUGUGCAUCAUGUAUAUGAUGCCAUAAAAUUAGUCCUUUUCCCCCCCUUUUUUUUUCUUUUUUAAAACAUAAAAAUGGUACCAUACUUGCUUUUUUUCCCCACCCAUCAGCAUGUUUUGGAGGUCCAUCCACAUCAGCACAUACAGCCCUGCCUUGUUCUUUUGGACUGCUGCAUAGUAUUUCAUAGUUUAUUUAAAGCAUUCCUCUACUAAUGGGCAUUUAGGUUGCUUUCAGUUUUUUUUCCACUGUGAGCAGUGCUGCAAUGAAUACCUUUAUAUAAAUUUCCUUGUGCACAUGAGGGAACCUCUUGGAGUUAUUUUGGAAAAAGUACAGUGCGAGAAGUUGAUAGCGAAGGUUACCUUAGUAACUGGAGAUUCGUCACACACACAAGAUGAGCCAGCCUCAAGAACCACUUGCUGAAGUUGCAGAAUCAGAACUCCCACCAGUCCUGCAGGAGGCUCCAUCUGGAGCUGAAAUUAGGCCAAACACAGUGCUGAUCUGACUGGUUGGUACCAGUUUGCCUGGCUUUUGUGAGCAUUGAUGUAGAUCUUUCUACCAGGAAACCUGCAUCUAGAUCCUCAAAGGCUGGGUUCUUCAACUGAAACUCAUAGUGAAUGCGCCCCUGUGAGUGGGGCUCAUGAGCCGCAGAAUGUGAGGUUGAAAGGUGGCCAGGUCUUGAAUUGGCCCCCAGUGAAACCCUUCAAAGAUGGCAAGGGAGUGGGUCCUGAAAAAUUGGCCAGGCAAAAUUGAGAGUACAGUUGGAUUAAUCUUGCUAUUUAAAAAGUUGGUGGGGCAAAGCCGAGUCUAGGAUAUUUGAGAUUGGGAUUGCGGCUUCCUGUCUUCUGUCUUCAUAUCUCAUAAGCAGGACGCUUCCCCAGGGGAGUUUAAUUGCUACCAAGAAGAGGGUUGGGCGCGGUGGCUCACACCUGUAAUCCCAGCACUUUGGGAGGCCAAGGCAGGCAGAUCACUUGAGGCCAGGAGUUCAAGACCGGCCCAGUCAACAUGGUGAAACCCCAUCUCUACUAAAAUGGAAAAAAAAAAAAAAAAAAAAAAAAAGCAAAA
rnacentral:sRNA from 1 species